UAGUGGCAGACGGGUGAGUAAUGCGUAGGAAUCUACCUAGUAGUAUGGAAUAGCCAUUAGAAAUGAUGGGUAAUACUGUAUAAUCCCUGCGGGGGAAAGAUUUAUCGCUAUUAGAUGAGCCUACGUUAGAUUAGCUAGUUGGUAAGGUAAUGGCUUACCAAGGCUAUGAUCUAUAGCUGGUCUGAGAGGACGAUCAGCCACACUGGAACUGAGAUACGGUCCAGACUCCUACGGGAGGCAGCAGUGGGGAAUAUUGGACAAUGGGCGAAAGCCUGAUCCAGCUAUGCCGCGUGAGUGAA
rnacentral:rRNA from 1 species